rnacentral:rRNA from 1 species
UACGUAGGGGGCAAGCGUUGUUCGGAAUUACUGGGCGUAAAGGGCGCGUAGGCGGCCCGCUAAGUCGAACGUGAAAUCCCCAGGCUCAACCUGGGAACUGCGUCCGAUACUGGCAGGCUUGAAUCCGGGAGAGGGAUGUGGAAUUCCAGGUGUAGCGGUGAAAUGCGUAGAUAUCUGGAGGAACACCGGUGGCGAAGGCGGCAUCCUGGACCGGUAUUGACGCUGAGGCGCGAAAGCUAGGGGAGCAAACGGG